CAGUCGCCGCGGUAAUACAGAGGCCUCAAGCGUUGUUCGGAUUCAUUGGGCGUAAAGGGUGCGUAGGUGGCUUGGUAAGUUGAAGGUGAAAUCUCGGGGCUUAACCCCGAAACUGCCUUCAAUACUGCUAGGCUCGAGGACUGUAGAGGAGAAUGGAAUUCACGGUGUAGCAGUGAAAUGCGUAGAUAUCGUGAGGAAGACCAGUGGCGAAGGCGAUUCUCUGGGCAGUUCCUGACACUGAGGCACGAAGGCCAGGGGAGCAAACGGGAUUAGAUACCCCAGUAGUCCCUGUCUCUUAUAU
rnacentral:rRNA from 1 species